CCUACGGGUGGCAGCAGUGAGGAAUAUUGGUCAAUGGACGAGAGUCUGAACCAGCCAAGUAGCGUGAAGGAUGACUGCCCUAUGGGUUGUAAACUUCUUUUAUAUGGGAAUAAAACGUUCCACGUGUGGGAUUUUGUAUGUACCAUAUGAAUAAGGAUCGGCUAACUCCGUGCCAGCAGCCGCGGUAAUACGGAGGAUCCGAGCGUUAUCCGGAUUUAUUGGGUUUAAAGGGAGCGUAGGUGGAUUGUUAAGUCAGUUGUGAAAGUUUGCGGCUCAACCGUAAAAUUGCAGUUGAAACUGGCAGUCUUGAGUACAGUAGAGGUGGGCGGAAUUCGUGGUGUAGCGGUGAAAUGCUUAGAUAUCACGAAGAACUCCGAUUGCGAAGGCAGUUCACUGGACUGCAACUGAUACUGAGGCUCGAAAGUGUGGGUAUCAAACAGGAUUAGAUACCCCAGUAGUU
rnacentral:rRNA from 1 species